UAAUAAUAAUAAUAAAAGAAAUAAAUUAACCACAUAAUAAAAGUAGAAUUUCACAGCAACACCCAUAAAACAGAACUUAAGGUAGAAAUGAUGGAGUGACCUUAAGAACAGAUUCUUGGACCUAGGGAUGAAAUCUGAUUUUAGGGUGUUCGGAAGGGUGUUUCAAGAAAGGAUACACUGGUUAUGACCAUGUUGUUGAUACCAGACGAAUGAACAAAUUAAGAACUGAAUUAAGUCGUAGAAACAAAGAAUUUUGGAUGUCACUUGGAAAACUUCUUGGGCAGAAACUUCUUCGGGCAUUUAUAUAAA